AUGGCCUUCGCCGACACAGCAGCACGGAGGCUCCUGCGCGGCGCAGGUGGCGGUGUGGCUCGAGGAAUCGCCGCCGACGCCGUCGGCAUGAGCUUCGCCCUUGACGGAUUGUGGCAGAUCAUCGCGGGCCUGUUCGCGAGCGCGGCUCACCUGCUCGUCCUGCCGUUCGAGGUGCUCGGGCACUUGCUCGCCGCCGCGGCUCACCUGCUCGUCCUGCCUUUCGAGGCGCUCUGGCACUUGCUGCAGUCCGUCAUCGCCGGCGUUAGCUUUUGUUUCGACAGCCUCUUCGCCACGCUCGGGAGCGCGGCCCACGCUCUGGUGGUGCCGUUCGAGGCGCUCUGGCACUUGCUGCAGUCCGCUGCCGCGGGCGUUACCUUAUGCUUCGGAAACCUCGUUGCGGCGAUCGGGAGCGUGCCCCAUGCUCUGGCGGUGCCGUUCGUGGCGCUCUGGCACUUGCUGCAGUCCGCCGCCGCGGGUAUCGGCUUCUGCUUCGGCAACCUCGUCGCCGCGCUCGGUAGCGCAGCCCCCGCUCUAGUGGUGCCGUUCGAAGCGCUGUGGCAGUGGCUCCAGGCCGCCCCCGCAGCCAUCAGUUUCGGCUUCCACGGUCUGGGGCAGCUCAUACAUGGCUGCAUCGACGGCCUCGCCGCCGCGCUCGGGAGCGCGGCCCACGCUCUGGCGGUGCCGUUUGAAUCGCUCUGGCAGUGGCUCCAGGCCGCGGCCGCCGGCGUCAGUUCCAACUUCGACGGCUUCUGGGAGCACAUGCAGGGCCUCUUCGCCAACCUUCCCGCCGCGCUCGCCAGCGCUGCCCACAACCUCGUCCUGCCGUUACAGGCCUUCUGGCGGUGGAUACAGAACACCGUCGCCGGCGGCUGGGAUGGCUUUUGGCCGCUCAUCCAGCGCUUCGUCGCCACGGCCGCGAGCACGGCCCACGAGCUUGUCCCGGCCGUGGAGGCGUUGUGGCGGUGGCUCAAGGACGCCGCCGCCGUCGCGCUCCCCGUCGUGCUGGCCAUCGCCGCGGUCGUUUGCGUCGCGGCCCUAGUCUGGUUCUGGUGGCGGGUCCUCGGCGUCGCGGCCUUCGUGGCCGGCGUGCUGGUCGCGCAAGCGCUCGUGCUGGCCGGAGUGCUGGUCGCACAAGCGCUCGUCUUGGUCAUCUGCAUCUGCGGGCGCUGCUUGUUCGUCGUCGCCAUGGGGGUCGGGGGUGCGCUCGCCUACCUACUCCCCAUCUGUGGGCAGUACUGCGCCAGCGUUACCAUGGCUGCACCAGAGGUCGCCGGCGUGCUGAUAUCACGCGCCGCGUUCAAGGCGGAACCGCGGAUGUACUUCCAGAUCCUCCAUUUGGCUGGCCCCCUCGUGGCCUCUGCUGUCUUCUCCACGAGCCCCCUCCCCUGGGCGGUCGGACUGUCGGUCGUCGCCCUUUUCAGCCGUGGAUUUUCAGGCGGCAAAGAGCCGAUGCCGAGGUGCAAAACCUUGUCGACGACUCCUGAGGAAGAUCAGAUCUGGGUUCACGAGGAUGAUCAGAUGUGGACUCCUGCAGAAGAUCAGCCUAUUAUCAUAGUAGAAUAA
rnacentral:rRNA from 1 species